ACGAACGCUGGCGGCGUGCCUAAUACAUGCAAGUCGAGCGGAAUGAUGAAGAAGCUUGCUUCUUCUGAUUUUAGCGGCGGACGGGUGAGUAACACGUGGGCAACCUACCUUGUAGAUUGGGAUAACUCCGGGAAACCGGGGCUAAUACCGAAUAAUCCAUUUUGCUUCAUGGCGAGAUGUUGAAAGACGGUUUCGGCUGUCACUAUAAGAUGGGCCCGCGGCGCAUUAGCUAGUUGGUAGGGUAAUGGCCUACCAAGGCGACGAUGCGUAGCCGACCUGAGAGGGUGAUCGGCCACACUGGGACUGAGACACGGCCCAGACUCCUACGGGAGGCAGCAGUAGGGAAUCUUCCACAAUGGACGAAAGUCUGAUGGAGCAACGCCGCGUGAGUGAAGAAGGUUUUCGGAUCGUAAAACUCUGUUGUAUGGGAAGAACACGUACGAGAGUAACUGCUCGUACCUUGACGGUACCUUAUUAGAAAGCCACGGCUAACUACGUG
rnacentral:rRNA from 1 species